rnacentral:rRNA from 1 species
AUGCUUCGUGCUCUGUUUCUCUUGCUUGCCACCGCCGCCCCACUGUCCGGCCAUGCGGCCGCCGGCACCGGCAGCGGCGACAAGCCGACCCCGCCGUGCUCGCCCGCCGACCGUGCCGCCCUGCUCGGCUUCAAGGCCGGCAUCACCGUGGACACCACGGGCAUCCUGGCCACGUGGGCCGGCGACGACUGCUGCGGCGGCGGGUGGGAGGGCGUGGCCUGCGCCGCCGCCACCGGGAGGGUCGUGUCGCUGCGCCUGCAGUCGCAGCCGGGUCGAUACAUGAACGGCACCAUCUCCCCCUCCAUCGGCGGCCUCGAGUUCCUGGAGUCCCUGGUGGUCCGCGACAUGGGGCGGAUCGGAGGCGUCAUCCCGGACGCGCUCUCGCGGCUGGUGCGCCUCCAGCAGCUCUACCUCGAGGGCAACGCGCUGGCCGGCGGCGUCCCCGGGAAGGUGCUGUCCAGGAUGACCUCCCUCCGCUACCUCUCGCUCGCCGGCAACCGGCUGGAGGGCCGGCUGCCGCGGGAGCUCGGGGACGUUCGCGGUCUCCAGCAGAUCAACCUCGCCGGGAACCGCCUCACCGGCGGGAUCCCGUCGAGCUACGGGAGCCUGUCCAGCCUGGAGUACCUCGACAUGAGCAGCAACCUUUUGUCAGGCGUCGUCCCGGAAUUUCUUGGGCGGUUCAAGAACCUGGCGCUGCUGGACUUGAGCAACAACAGCUUCUCCGGCGAGAUGCCGGCGUCGCUCGGCGGCCUGCGGCACCUCGCCGACCUGUCGCUGAGCCACAACAAGAUCGCCGGCAGGAUUCCACCGCAGAUCGGCAGCCUCCGGUCUCUGAGUUCUCUCGCCCUCGAUGACAACCUGCUCGUAGGCCCCAUUCCGAAGUCACUGUUCGGCCUGCCGAAGCUGUGGCGCCUCGACCUGUCCAAGAACAAGCUCACCAGCGCGCUGCCUGACUUCGCCGGCGGCGGGAGCCUGAAGUGGCUCGACGUGUCGAGGAACGCCAUCGGUGGCCAGAUACCGAGCUCGAUCUCGAAGCUCGGGGACCUAGAGAGGCUGGACAUCUCCCGGAACAGAGUCGGGGGCGUCAUCCCGGCAACCAUGGCGGCCAUGGCGAGCUUGGAGUGGCUGGACCUCUCCAGCAACGCCAUCGUCGGGAGGAUACCGGACAACUUCACUGGAAUGACGGGCGUCCGGCACGCGAGCUUCAGAGGGAACAAGCUGUGCGGGCGGAUACCGCAGGCCCCGCCGUUCAACCGGUUCCCCGCGGCGGCGUACGCGCACAACCUGUGCCUGUGCGGCAAGCCGCUGCCGCCGUGCAGGAAGAUUAGUUAG